CCCUUAGAUGUUCUGGGCCGCACGCGCGCUACAAUGAUGAAUUCAACGAGUUUAUAACCUUGGUUGAAAAGCCUGGGUAAUCUUUUGAACUUUCGUCGUGAUGGGGCUAGACCCUUGCAAUUAUUGGUCUCCAACGAGGAAUUCCUAGUAAACGCAAGUCAUCAGCUUGCAUUGAUUACGUCCCUGCCCUUUGUACACACCGCCCGUCGCACCUACCGAUUGAAUGGUCCGGUGAAAUCUUCGGAUUGAGACUUUGAUUUCUUCACGGAAAACGCUGUUUUAAAAAGUUGAUUAAACCUUACCAUUUGGAGGAAGGUGAAGUCGUAACA
rnacentral:rRNA from 1 species